rnacentral:rRNA from 1 species
AUGCUCACCACGACCACCACGAGCUACCCCAUCAGUAGAUCGAGACCUCUUUUGGCUGCCCUAACUGAGUUGAAUCCAUUCACGGUGCCAAAAUUGCGAAAAACUUGCUCAUUUAGGUGUAUAAAUUGGUGGCAUUUUUGUGUAGAGAGAGGAGAAGGUAAGAACACAAAAGAACAGAAGAAGAAGGGAGGAAGGGGAGAAGAAGAAGGGAGGAAGGGGAGGAUAAGGCAGCAGCCGGCCAGCUCCGCGAGGUGGCAGCACCCUGUCGGCCAGCAGCUGGCCGAUCGGCCCGCGGGUGUGUAUGAAAAUGGUGGAGAGAUUGCCGUGAAGAUACUAAAUAACAUUCCAGUUGGAUUAGAUGAUACAAAGUUUCUCAAAGAGUUCAACAAUCUUAGGGGGCUUAAGCAUCAAAAUAUUGUGGAGUUAGUGGGCUUCUGUAAUGAAUCAGUGGAAGGACCUGCUAUGUUCGAAGGAAAACAAGUUACUGCUGUAAGUCUGCGUACGGCGCUUUGCUUCGAGUAUGUAUCCAAUGGUAGCCUUCACAAGCAUAUCUCUGGCGAGUUUGACAUAUUUAGUUUGGGCGUUAUCAUUGUAAAGAUAAUGACCGGACAUCAAGGCUACAAUUCUACUGUUGAGAUGAUGACCCGGAAAUCUGUUACGCUGGUACAAGAAAGUUGGAAGAAGAAGCUACGUGAAACAUUCUAUCAAGACAGUGGUGAGAAUUCGCCCAUUCUUAUAAGAAAGAACAACAGCAUCACGAUCAAGUCCAGAUCUUCUUCAGGCAACUUUCGGUAUGCGGAGCCAAGGGCAAUGCCUUUCAGUUUACUAAAAGUCGUUACAAGCGAUUUCUCUCGAGAGGAAUUAAUUGGCCGGGGUGGCUAUGGAGGUGUUUACAAGGGAGUCUAUGGGGAUGGACAAAUUGCUGUGAAGCUCUAUACUUUAAAAGGAAUAGAUAAUAAGCAGUUCCAGAAUGCAAUUGAAGUCCACAAGAAGUUCCAUCAUGAAAAUGUCGCGCAAUUAGUUGGCUACUGCUACGAGACAGAAGAAGUGGUUAUACCGUUCAACGGAAAGCAUGUAGUGGUUGGUUUGGAUAUACACAUGGCAAUCUGCUUGGAGUAUUUCCCAAAUGGAUCCCUUAAUCGGUACAUCUCAGACGUGAAAUCCGGACUGGACUGGUGUAUGCGCUACCAAAUAAUUAAGGGCUUAUGUGAUGGUUUAAGAUACCUCCAUGAGGGUUUGGAGAGUCCUGUUAUUCACAUGAACCUAAAACCUAGCAAUAUAUUGAUGGAUGAGAAACUGACACCUAAAAUAGGCGAUUUUGGUCUAGCAAGAUUCGGUGCAGGAAAGAGCGACAGGACAAUGGAUAUAAGUGGAGCACGUGAAUACAUGCCGCCGGAAUUCAUUGAAAAACAAGUAAUAUCAAAAAAGCAUGACAUAUACAGCUUAGGCGUUAUAAUCAUAAAGCUGAUGACAGGGGUGAAAAUGUAUUUGAAAUGUUACGAUAUGUCUUCCGAGAAGUUUAUUGAGCUGACGCUUGAAAAUUGGAGGGAGAGGCUGCAGAAAACAGUGGAUGCUACAUUAAUUGAAGGAUAUUGUGAACAAGUUAAGAAAUGCUUGGAUAUAGCGUUGACCUGUCUGGCGAGUAACAGACGCAGAAGGCCUACCAUCGGGGAUAUCGUACAUACACUGAACGAAACAGAAACCUUGAUUCCGCAAGUGGAAAUUAUCUUGGACUCGGAGCUGCUUGAUUCAGAAGACUCUGAUCAGCUUCUUCAUGUUCAUCCCUCAGAGCUCUACUUUCUCCCAGCCAUGUCAUCGGUAGAAGUACCAAGAAAGAAGGUGGCCAUGAUCUCCUCCUGCUCAGUGCAGUUAAAUAACAAGGGAGAUGACCGCGUUGCGUUCAUGCUUGUGGCAAAAAGCCCCAAGAGGUACUUGACAAAGAAGCCACUAUGUGGCGUUGUGCCUCCAGGAUCCACCUACACCCUCACUCUCACAAUGCUCAAGCAGCAGCCACUUCCAUCGGGCAUUGACGGCGAGUUCUUCACACUGUAUAGCCUUGCGGUGAAUGAAUAUGACCUCCAGGACGAGGAUGUUGAGAAAGAUUCGAUCUCCGUCAAGUACAACAACUUCUUUGAGAAAACUAAAGAGAAAGCUGGUGCUGACCAAGAGGUAGUGCAAGAGAUGACGUUGAAGGUUCUCUGUUGUCAACAUCAAGAAGAUGAUCAUGUGACAUCAUCAUCUGAGGUCAUAACCACGUCUGAUGCUCAGCAAGUUUCCUCCAUAGAUGUGCACCCAACCGAGCCAUGGAUUAUUACGACCAAUAAUGUGGGGAGCCUUCGUUCUUGGAACUACAAGACAAUGGGGCACAUUGACAGAGUGAUGCAAGUAAAGUUUAACCCAGAGGACAAGGACAGUUUCGCUAGUGCUUCUAGGGAUGGCACGGUCAAGAUCUGGAGUAUAAGUUCUGAUGAAAUCGUCACGUUGAAAUUGGAUGGGUGUGUGGAAAACCUUCUUUGUAUUGAUUACUUUACACGCAAUAAGAAGCAGCAUCUGAUUGUGGGCUGUAAGGACAGGAUCGCACAGAUCUGGAAACUGGGAAUGGGUCAAUGUGUUGACAAGCUAGAAGGGCAUGUGGACCAUGUCAGUGCCGCCAAUUUGCACCCUGAGCUUCCAAUGUUAAUUACAGGUUCACUUGAUGGGACCGUACGCAUAUGGAACUCCACUACCUACAAGCUUGAGAACAUAAUUGGUUUCAAUCUCGGUGCAGUUUAUGCUGUUGGAUGUAUAAAGGGCUCAAGAAGGAGGCUCGGGGUGGUCGCAGGUUCGGGCGCCAUCUCCUUCCUUCCCGUACACUGGGAUCAAACAGCCCGCGGCCUGGCGGUGCCGGCCUGGAUCUGGAGGCAGAUGGACCAGAUCCUGGAGCUGGGCACGAAGGAGCUCGAGGUCGACGACUCCGGCUUCGUCCUCCUCCUCUGA